AAAAUAAGUCUUAUAUCCUCUCACAUAAAUUUCACUCCAAUCCAAUUGGUAGAUUGCAAAAAAUCUUAAAAACCCUCAUUGGACCUAAAAUUCUACUUUCUGAGACCUUGACUCACUUAAACCUCAAUAAUCCUCAAUUCAAUCAUUAGAUCGAGCUCAAAUUCAUAACACAUAUUGAACACAACUAUAACCAUUAAUCCACAAAAUUUCACUUGUAGAUCUAUUACAAAACUCUUGAAAUCACCCAAAAUGUAAAUC
rnacentral:lncRNA from 1 species